rnacentral:rRNA from 1 species
UACGAGAGGCCCAAACGUUAUUCGGAUUUACUGGGCUUAAAGAGUUCGUAGGCGGCGCAGAAAGUGGGGUGUGAAAGCCCUCGGCUCAACCGAGGAAUUGCGCUCCAAACUACUGUGCUAGAGGAAGCUAGAGGUGAGCAGAACAGAUGGUGGAGCGGUGAAAUGCGUUGAUAUCAUCAGGAACACCAGAGGCGAAGGCGGCUCACUGGGUCUCUUCUGACGCUGAGGAACGAAAGCUAGGGGAGCAAACGGG